AGUCCACGCCGUAAACGAUGUCGACUUGGAGGUUGUGCCCUUGAGGCGUGGCUUCCGGAGCUAACGCGUUAAGUCGACCGCCUGGGGAGUACGGCCGCAAGGUUAAAACUCAAAUGAAUUGACGGGGGCCCGCACAAGCGGUGGAGCAUGUGGUUUAAUUCGAUGCAACGCGAAGAACCUUACCUGGUCUUGACAUCCACAGAACUUUCCAGAGAUGGAUUGGUGCCUUCGGGAACUGUGAGACAGGUGCUGCAUGGCUGUCGUCAGCUCGUGUUGUGAAAUGUUGGGUUAAGUCCCGCAACGAGCGCAACCCUUAUCCUUUGUUGCCAGCGGUCCGGCCGGGAACUCAAAGGAGACUGCCAGUGAUAAACUGGAGGAAGGUGGGGAUGACGUCAAGUCAUCAUGGCCCUUACGACCAGGGCUACACACGUGCUACAAUGGCGCAUACAAAGAGAAGCGACCUCGCGAGAGCAAGCGGACCUCAUAAAGUGCGUCGUAGUCCGGAUUGGAGUCUGCAACUCGACUCCAUGAAGUCGGAAUCGCUAGUAAUCGUGGAUCAGAAUGCCACGGUGAAUACGUUCCCGGGCCUUGUACACACCGCCCGUCACACCAUGGGAGUGGGUUGCAAAAGAAGUAGGUAGCUUAACCUUCGGGAGGGCGCUUACCACUUUGUGAUUCAUGACUGGGGUGAAGUCGUAACAAGGUAACCGUAGGGGAACCUGCGGUUG
rnacentral:rRNA from 1 species